GCACCGAUGGGCUCAUGUGUAGGAUUCAUCACUUCUAAGGAUGAGGUCGGGGUUCGAUUCCGCGACGGCGCA